AUACGUAAGGGGCGAGCGUUGUCCGGAAUGAUUGGGCGUAAAGGGCGCGUAGGCGGCGCGGUAAGUCUGGAGUGAAAGUCCUGCUUUCAAGGUGGGAAUUGCUUUGGAUACUGUCGGGCUUGAGUGCAGGAGAGGUAAGUGGAAUUCCCAGUGUAGCGGUGAAAUGCGUAGAGAUUGGGAGGAACACCAGUGGCGAAGGCGACUUACUGGACUGUAACUGACGCUGAGGCGCGAAAGUGUGGGGAGCAAACAGGAUUAGAUACCCUGGUAGUCCACACUGUAAACGAUGAAUGCUAGGUGUAGGGGGUAUCGACUCCCUCUGUGCCGCAGUUAACACAAUAAGUAUUCCGCCUGGGGAGUACGGCCGCAAGGUUGAAACUCAAAGGAAUUGACGGGG
rnacentral:rRNA from 1 species